GGCGACUGUUUACCAAAAACACAGGUCUCCGCAAAGUCGUAAGACGACGUAUGGGGGCUGACACCUGCCCAGUGCCAGAAGGUUAAAGAAGUUGGUCAAUCUAUGAUGAAGCUAACGACUGAAGCCCUGGUGAACGGCGGCAGUAACUAUAACUGUCCUAAGGUAGCGAAAUUCCUUGUCGGGUAAGUUCCGACCCGCACGAAAGGUGUAACGAUCUGGAUACUGUCUCAGAGAGAGACUCGGUGAAAUAAAACUAUCUGUGAAGAUGCGGAUUACCUGCACACGGACAGAAAGACCCUAUGAAGCUUUACUGUAACCUGGAAUUGCUCUCAAGCUUAUCUUGCGCAGCUUAGGUGGGAGGCUAUGAACCUUUUCUUCUGGGAAGAGGGGAGCCAUCAGUGAGAUACCACUCUUGGUAAGCUAGAGCGCUCAGUCUUCACCGUCAUCCGGUAAGACGACAGUUUCAGGCGGGCAGUUUGACUGGGGCAGUCACCUCCCAAAAGGUAAUGGAGGUGUGCAAAGGUUCCCUCAGGCUGGACGGAAAUCAGCCAUAGAGUGUAAAAGCAAAAGGGAGCUUGACUGCGAGACUGACAUGUCAAGCAGAGACGAAAGUCGGCUUUAGUGAUCCGACGGUGCUGUGUGGAAAGGCCGUCGCUCAACGGAUAAAAGUUACUCUAGGGAUAACAGGCUAAUCUCCCCCAAGAGUUCACAUCGACGGGGAGGUUUGGCACCUCGAUGUCGGCUCGUCGCAUCCUGGAGCGGAAGUACGUUCCAAGGGUUGGGCUGUUCGCCCAUAGAAAGCGGCACGCGAGCUGGGUUCAGAACGUCGUGAGACAGUUUGGUCCAUAUCCUGUGUAGGCGUUUAGAGCAUUGAAAGGAUCUCCCCUUUGUACGAGAGGACCAGGUGGGGACAGACCGCUAGUGUACCAGUUAUCCCACCAGGGGUAAACGCUGGGUAGCUAUGUCUGGAGUAAAUAACUGCUGAAAGCAUAUAAGUAGGAAGUUCACCUUAAGAUGAGUGCUCUUUUGUCUCAACCGUUCAGUUUUACUGACAAAUGAAAGACAAGGAAGGUCACGGCAAGACGAGCCGUUUGAUAGGCAUGAAGUAGAAGUGCAGUAAUGCAUUCUGAAGCUGACAUGUGCUAAUAGACCGAGGGAUUUGAUUUU
rnacentral:rRNA from 1 species